rnacentral:rRNA from 1 species
GACGAACGCUGGCGGCGUGCUUAACACAUGCAAGUCGAACGGUAAGGCCCUUCGGGGUACACGAGUGGCGAACGGUGAGUAACACGUGGGUGAUCUGCCCUGCACUUCGGGAUAAGCCUGGGAAACUGGGUCUAAUACCGGAUAGGACCACUGCCUGCAUGGGUGGUGGUGGAAAGCUUUUGCGGUGUGGGAUGGGCCCGCGGCCUAUCAGCUUGUUGGUGGGGUGAUGGCCUACCAAGGCGACGACGGGUAGCCGGCCUGAGAGGGUGACCGGCCACACUGGGACUGAGAUACGGCCCAGACUCCUACGGGAGGCAGCAGUGGGGAAUAUUGCACAAUGGGCGCAAGCCUGAUGCAGCGACGCCGCGUGAAGGAUGACGGCCUUCGGGUUGUAAACCUCUUUCAGCACCGACGAAGCGCAAGUGACGGUAGGUGCAGAAGAGGGACCGGCCAACUACGUGCCAGCCGCCGCAGUAA